GGCGGCGGAAAAACCACCUUAAUUGGGGCGGAGGGUUAGUUUUAACAGCAAAGGGCCUUUACUAAAAUGGCGAAGGCCUUCCGUCGGCGUUGUUUUAAAAUGGGAAGCCUCGACCCUGUAUUGAAACUGAGCUGUUCGAAGGCGGCGUUGUGUGCAAUUCGGAUUAAUGAAGGGGAAGGGUUUUGUGUGGAAAAACGCCUUGGAGUGUGACAUUUCUGCGAGAAUGCUUAAAUACCGAUUUCCCGCAGGAACAAUGGCGCUGUCUUCAGUGGCACAGUGGAGCAGCUCUGAAGAUGCAAAGAUACACGAAAAAACUUCCAGAACAUCUGGGAGAAUAUUUAAUGGAAAAUCGCUUGGUUAAAACCUGACACUUUUAACAGUUAGUUGAAUCCAUGGACAUGAAACCCACAGAUAUAGAGGGUUGGCCCGGUGCAGUGGCUCACGCCUGUAAUCCCAGCACUUUGGGAGGCCAAGGCGGGUGGAUCACCUGAGGUCAGAAGCUUGAGACCAGCCUGGCCAACAUGGUAAAACCCCAUCUCUACUAAUAAUACAAAACAAUUUGCUGGGCAUGGUGGUGCACGCUUGUAAUCCAAGCUACUCCAGAGGCUGAGGCAGAAGAAUCGCUUGAAUCCGAGAGGCAAAGGUUGCAGUGAGCCCAGAUCACACCACUGCUCUCCAACCUGGGCAACAAGAGCAAAACUCCGUCAAAAAAAAAAGAUACAGGGUCAACUGUACACAUUAAACACUUCUAUCAACUAGUGAUGUCAGUCUUGUCCAUUGUAUUAUUGCCUAUCUUACUAAACAGUCAUAUUUCAGGAAGUACAAUAUACUCAAAAACUAAGUUAAUGUUCUUUGUAGAUUUAUGGUUAAUGGAUGAUUCAUAUAA
rnacentral:lncRNA from 1 species